AUGCAUGGGCGCAGCCUGAUGCAGCGACGCCGCGUGAGGGAUGACGGCCUUCGGGUUGUAAACCUCUUUCAGUAGGGAAGAAGCGAAAGUGACGGUACCUGCAGAAGAAGCGCCGGCUAACUACGUGCCAGCAGCCGCGGUAAUACGUAGGGCGCAAGCGUUAUCCGGAAUUAUUGGGCGUAAAGAGCUCGUAGGCGGUUUGUCGCGUCUGCCGUGAAAGUCCGGGGCUCAACUCCGGAUCUGCGGUGGGUACGGGCAGACUAGAGUGAUGUAGGGGAGACUGGAAUUCCUGGUGUAGCGGUGAAAUGCGCAAAUAUCAGGAGGAACACCGAUGGCGAAGGCAGGUCUCUGGGCAUUAACUGACGCUGAGGAGCGAAAGCAUGGGGAGCGAACAGGAUUAGAUACCCUGGUAGUCCAUGCCGUAAACGUUGGGCACUAGGUGUGGGGGACAUUCCACGUUUUCCGCGCCGUAGCUAACGCAUUAAGUGCCCCGCCUGGGGAGUACGGCCGCAAGGCUAAAACUCAAAUGAAAAUUGACGG
rnacentral:rRNA from 1 species